rnacentral:rRNA from 1 species
GAGAGGAAGGUCCCCCACACUGGUACUGAGACACGGACCAGACUCCUACGGAAGGCAGCAG